CAAGAACACGUUCUCCUUUCUCACCUCCAUUUCCCUGAUAAAGGCUCUAGUAACAUUCUUUUCCUGUUAUAAAAUCUCCUACCAAUCUCCAUGUGCUCCAGUCUUCCUCCAGAAAAAUAGUGUUUGAUCACCUCCUCACAUAUGGUUUCUGUUUUCAAGGAACUGGCAGUUCAGUUGGAAGAUAAGACAUGAAUCAGUAACAAAUAUGAGAUACAUCACAAUCAUGACCAUAAACACAGCAGUAGUUACUGCCAGACACUGUGCUAGCUUUUUAAUACAGGUACGUGAAGACAGCUUACCGUUAAAUGCAAUGAUUCCUGUGUGUGCGUCAGAGGGAAGAGGGAAGGAGGGAAAGGAGGAGGAGCAGGAUAAAAUGGAGAAGAAGAGAGAGAGAGAGGGAGAAGGAAUAGAAGAGAAGAGAAGAAAGAGAAGAGAAGAUGGUGAGAUGGAGCCAGGGAGAGAGGGAAGGGAGAGACAGAGAGAGAAGGAGGUGGGGGAGAAGGGGAGAGAAGGAGGUGGCAGGGAAGAAGGGAGGAAAGGGGGAUGGAGGGAUGGAUGGAGGGGGAGAGAGAAAGAGAGAACAUGCACAGAGAACAUGAGUGGUGAAGCAUCCAUAGACUAUUAAUGCAGUUGAGUUUCAUUCCCCCUUGCUUCUUAUAGCGUGAACUUCUUGCCGCGCUAGGUGUGAUUUUACGCAAUGGCUACUAAAAUAAAAGAACAAAUUAAUUCGUCUCAUGUCCAAAAAAGGAUAUAGCAAUCUGUUCCAACCUUGGAGGCAAAUCUGGUUGUGCUGGACCUAUUGAGAGUGGUGUGUGGUCCCCAAUGUGAGAUUUCCCAAGUUAAGUUUGACUCUAAAUGGUUCUCGUUCUUUACGUAAGGGCUGAGAACACAAUCCCUUUAUAGAAUGCAGUUCCACUGAGGGAUAGAAAGUUCUCUUUAGGAGAGCCAGCUCCGGAAACCUACUGUUCUGGUGAGCAAUCGCAUGGAGACAGCAGCUGGCCCAAAGUGGUCACCCAACAUUUACAUAAGAAAUUGAGCCUGCAGGGAAAUAAGGGAGGCUAAGGAGAAAUAACUGCCAGCAAGAGAGAAGGGCUGAGGUAGGUCAACAGAUUUGAGAGGACUAAGUCCAGCUCAGCGGAGAGGAGCCAGGGCAGGUCUGAGAGAACGCUACGGACCAGAAGAGGUUUGCCAGACUGUCUAGGGCUGCUGCCGAGUGGCCGAGAUGAGCUGCUGGGAAGUGAGCUCAUCCGUCAUUUAGGGCAAUAACUGUCCGAGUUGAGCAUCUAGGAGAGGCAGAGCUGCCAUUUCUAGGGAGAGGAAAGUGCAUUCUUUGGUGGAGGAAAACUAUCAAGAGGAGAUUUUACUUUUCAAAGGGAAUAAUGCGUGUUAGUUAAAAAUAAUACAGUUUGAUGGCUUGGGCUGUUUGUUAUGCAGCCCGCUGUCAGCUUAAGCAGAAUUCAUCUCCCUCCCUGCUCUGUCAAGCAGGAAGGCAGCCAGAGCCUUCCUCAAAGUUCAUAGGAUGGAACUUCUUCCAUCUGCCAAUUACUGUGACCUUAGAAAUUCAACAGACUCUAUCGGGCACAUGCAAGCAACUUAAUCAUGAGCAACACGAAAAUAUUUGCACAACCGGAAGACACACUGUGUAUGAACAUCUUAAGUCAUUUCAAAUAACCAGGAGAGAAAAUGCAUGUGUAGACAGACUCAAGUAGAGCAGAGAUGACAAGCCCAUGAGUGGCAGAGAUGGAGAGUUUUAAAUAUUGUUAAGUUGGGGGCUGUAAUACCUAAUUUUGAAAAAAGUAAAAAAAUAUUAAAGAGCAUGCAGUCUCAUUAAUGACAAUAAAAUGUGGCCCGGAUUGAAUAUAUCAUUGGGCUGAAAAUGUUCUCUGAUGAACAUCACUCUCCAACACGAGGAUACAUGUCUGAAGUCAUAAGCCACUCAGCGGAAGUUGGACUACCUCGGCCUGAAUCUCCCCUCACCAUCAGUCUCAACAGAGCUUUACUGACAAAACAGGAAAGAGGACCUAACAAAUGAUUGUUAAUGUGAUAUUCUGACAAUCGGCUUGUGACACAGGUCACCCUGCCCAGCUCAUCUCCAGUCUUGGAGGGGAUGGGGGAACAGGAGAGACAUGUUGCACAGGCUCAAUCACUUGCUUAAGAACCUGGAUGCGGCGCUUAGACUUUGAGUCCAGACAGUUUGAGGCAUCACCCUGCGGCCUGCAGACCACACCCUGCCCCUGCAGCGUGACGAUACAACAGGGCCCUUAUUUACACAAAGAUGAAGGCUCCUUGACUCAUUUCUGUUGCUAGUGCCUGGACUGCGGGGGCAGCUGCAGUGAAGAGCUACCACACAGGGCAAGAAGCUCUGAUUCUGUAAAGGCUGCAAGAUGUUGCCCAGGAACCUUGAUCUGCUAAGAGAACAGUCACCAAGUCUGAUGAGGCGGCACUUCUAGUAAAUAAAACUGGGCUGUGAAGAUUUAGAAAACAAACUCCUCAAUGCUUAGUGGUUUAAGGAAAACCAGGAAUGGACGAGUAGAACAUUGAAGAAGUAGAACACAUUCACUUCUCUGCCUAUUCCAAACCUCUUCCUCAAACCCCAGUAUAAAUGCCACCUACUUAGCCAAGGUUUAACCCAUCUUCCUAUUUCAAAAUUAUUUGCUUCAUUUUUAUAUGCUUUUGUGCUCCUACAUCAUGCUGCAUAUACAUCUAUUAAAGCACUUUUAGAAAUUCUAUGUUGCACUUGUUAUUUUCUUGUCAGUUUCCUCUACUAUCAGUAUACUCCUUGAGACAAAGUCUGAGUAAUUAAAAAAAUUACAUGUACAUUGGGGUGGCCCGGUGGCGCAGUGGUUAAGUACGCAUGCUCUGCUUCUGCAGCCUGGGAUUUGCAGGUUUGGAUCCCGGGUGCAGGCCUACACACAGCUUGGCAUGACAUGCUGUGGCAGGUGUCCCAGAUAUAAAGUAGAGGUAGAUGGGCAUGGAUGUUGGCUUCUUCCUCAGCAAAGAGAGGAGGACUGGCAGCAGAUGUU
rnacentral:lncRNA from 1 species